rnacentral:rRNA from 1 species
AGCGAACGCUGGCGGCAGGCCUAACACAUGCAAGUCGAACGAAGUCUUCGGACUUAGUGGCGGACGGGUGAGUAACACGUGGGAACGUGCCUUUAGGUUCGGAAUAACUCAGGGAAACCUGUGCUAAUACCGAAUGUGCCCUUCGGGGGAAAGAUUUAUCGCCUUUAGAGCGGCCCGCGUCUGAUUAGCUAGUUGGUGAGGUAAAGGCUCACCAAGGCGACGAUCAGUAGCUGGUCUGAGAGGAUGAUCAGCCACAUUGGGACUGAGACACGGCCCAAACUCCUACGGGAGGCAGCAGUGGGGAAUCUUGCGCAAUGGGCGAAAGCCUGACGCAGCCAUGCCGCGUGAAUGAUGAAGGUCUUAGGAUUGUAAAAUUCUUUCACCGGUGACCAUAAUGACGGUACCCGGAGAGGAAGCCCCGGCUAACUUCGUGCCAGCCGCCGCCGUAAAAC